GCCUCCUCUCCUCCGACUUGCGACUCAUCGUUCUCGAUCGCAUCGCAUCCACGGGAUCUACAACACAACGCAACACAACAAAAGAUGAGGUGGGUGUCCUAUCAGUCCAACAUCUACAAGUAUGGGCUCGUGUUCAUGUGCGCCGCGUCGCUGCUGGCGUUGAUGAAUGACGGCGGUAGCACCAAGGAGAGUUGGGACUGGAUGCGUCAGCAGUACGACCUCCGGCAGGCGAAGAAGAUUCAGUAGAGAGGGACUGAAGGGACUCUCGGAGUGUGUGUGUGUGUGUGGGGAUACAAUGGAGGAACGCUGAUCGAGUGGGGCACACGUGCGUCUUGGAGGUGAAAAGCAAGCACGUAGCAUCAUUGCAGGCUGGAACCUUCCGCUUCUCAUCUCCAUGAGCGCACUGUGUCUCUCCGCUUCGCUCUCCUCCUCUUCCCCUCCUUCUGUCACCGCGGAUGUCGACCUCUUCUCGCCAUCGCGCCGCUUCGCUGCAUUUUCCCUCACCGUUGUGAGGGAUGGCACGCACAGGCAUACGUAAAGACGUGUGGGCAGACCGUCGCGCAUUCGUAAACGCACACUCAGACACGUCAGGGUUUCCCCUUACUCUUGCGUUGUGCCUCCCCCAUCAUCAUCACGAUUUUUUCGGUUGAAGUGUGUGUUUGUGCUCUUAUUAUCUUCGUUAUCAUUAUCAUCGCUGUUGAUUUUUUUCCCCGUCACCGCCAACACAUCAGCCACAG
rnacentral:misc_RNA from 1 species